rfam:Gossypium hirsutum cultivar TM-1 unplaced genomic scaffold scaffold3339.1, whole genome shotgun sequence
GGCUGGGGCGGCACAUCUGUUAAAAGAUAACGCAGGUGUCCUAAGAUGAGCUCAACGAGGACAGAAAUCUCGUGUGGCACAAACGUGGGGGGUUCGCUGCCCACGA